UACAUGCAAGUCGAGCGAACAGACGAGGAGCUUGCUCCUCUGACGUUAGCGGCGGACGGGUGAGUAACACGUGGAUAACCUACCUAUAAGACUGGGAUAACUUCGGGAAACCGGAGCUAAUACCGGAUAAUAUAUUGAACCGCAUGGUUCAAUAGUGAAAGACGGUUUUGCUGUCACUUAUAGAUGGAUCCGCGCCGCAUUAGCUAGUUGGUAAGGUAACGGCUUACCAAGGCAACGAUGCGUAGCCGACCUGAGAGGGUGAUCGGCCACACUGGAACUGAGACACGGUCCAGACUCCUACGGGAGGCAGCAGUAGGGAAUCUUCCGCAAUGGGCGAAAGCCUGACGGAGCAACGCCGCGUGAGUGAUGAAGGUCUUCGGAUCGUAAAACUCUGUUAUUAGGGAAGAACAAAUGUGUAAGUAACUAUGCACGUCUUGACGGUACCUAAUCAGAAAGCCACGGCUAACUACGUGCCAGCAGCCGCGGUAAUACGUAGGUGGCAAGCGUUAUCCGGAAUUAUUGGGCGUAAAGCGCGCGUAGGCGGUUUUUUAAGUCUGAUGUGAAAGCCCACGGCUCAACCGUGGAGGGUCAUUGGAAACUGGAAAACUUGAGUGCAGAAGAGGAAAGUGGAAUUCCAUGUGUAGCGGUGAAAUGCGCAGAGAUAUGGAGGAACACCAGUGGCGAAGGCGACUUUCUGGUCUGUAACUGACGCUGAUGUGCGAAAGCGUGGGGAUCAAACAGGAUUA
rnacentral:rRNA from 1 species